GACGAACGCUGGCGGCGUGCUUAACACAUGCAAGUCGAACGGGCCCGCCCCUGUUUUUGGGGGUGGGUUGAGUGGCGAACGGGUGAGUAUCACGUGAGUAACCUGCCCCCUGCUCCUGGAUAACUGCUUGAAAGGGCGGCUAAUACGGGGUGUGCCGGCUGGUCCGCAUGGGCCUGGUCGGGAUAGUUUCAUCUUCGGGUGUUUCGGUGGGGGAUGGGCUCGCGGCCCAUCAGCUUGUUGGUGGGGUGAUGGCCCACCAAGGCGGUGACGGGUAGCCGGCCUGAGAGGGUGGGCGGCCACACUGGGACUGAGACACGGCCCAGACUCCUGCGGGAGGCAGCAGUGGGGGGUAUUGCACAAGGGGCGGAAGCCUGAUGCAGCGACGUCGCGUGAGGGAUGGAGGCCUUCGGGUUGGGAACCUCUUUCUCCGGUGGUGAAGGCCCUGUCCGUUGCGGCGGGGUUGACGGUAGCCGGGUAUGAAGCGCCGGCUAACUACGUG
rnacentral:rRNA from 1 species